UGGCCUCUGUACUUACAAACACUGUGAUGACAUCUCCAGAUGACGCCUUCACUGGAAUGCAUUUUCUUCCCUCCAGCACAUACCCUUGCAUCUGGCGACUAACGGGCUGAGAGAAGGGAACACAAGCAAAUAGCACAGGAUGCCAUCUGUCUGGGGGCGUGGAUCAGUGCGUAGAAUUCAUGCUGAGGUAUGCAUACUACAGGUGACAGGUAAGGACUUCCCAAGGUGUGGAUAGAUGGACAAUUUUGGUGAAUGAAGUCUCUAAAUACGC
rnacentral:lncRNA from 1 species